CUCUAUUGUGUUAUGCUUUUCUUCACACCCUCGAAAGCAUUGGCUAACUUUACAUCCUUCGAGACCCAUCGGACGCUCAACAGGCCACCGACGAACUUCAGCUGACGGACAUGCAAUCUUCCUCGAACCUACUCCGCGCUGUUCAACGGAAGACCGCAAAACACCGUUGAUCGCUAAGCAAGAGCGAUCCAAGGUUGUUGAGAUUUUGCAGUUAACCAUGGAUAUAAUACUUGAAAAGAAGAUCAUUCUAACCGAGAUCCUGUCUGCUGAAACAGCUUUUAUUCUCCAACAUGUUCAGCAGAACAAACUCAUCACAGAUCGUGACUACAGUGCUCUUAAAAGCCUUCCUCCAAACACUGAGAUGAUGUCUGGUGAAGUGCUGGAUAAACUGAGAGAC
ensembl:lncRNA